CACUCCUGCGGGAGGCAGCAGUGGGGAAUUUUGGACAAUGGGGGCAACCCUGAUCCAGCAAUGCCGCGUGAGUGAAGAAGGCCUUCGGGUUGUAAAGCUCUUUUGUCAGGGAAGAAACGGUGGUGGCGAAUAACUACUACUAAUGACGGUACCUGAAGAAUAAGCACCGGCUAACUACGUGCCAGCAGCCGCGGUAAUACGUAGGGUGCAAGCGUUAAUCGGAAUUACUGGGCGUAAAGCGUGCGCAGGCGGUUGUGUAAGUCAGAUGUGAAAUCCCCGGGCUCAACCUGGGAAUUGCAUUUGAGACUGCACGGCUAGAGUGUGUCAGAGGGGGGUAGAAUUCCACGUGUAGCAGUGAAAUGCGUAGAUAUGUGGAGGAAUACCGAUGGCGAAGGCAGCCCCCUGGGAUAACACUGACGCUCAUGCACGAAAGCGUGGGGAGCAAACAGGAUUAGAAACCCUAGUAGUCCCAUGA
rnacentral:rRNA from 1 species